UAUAGACACAUUACAGACAGACACCGUGUGGUGUAGUGUUAUACUGGGUUUCAGGUCUCUGGUUCAUGUUAGGAGGGUAUUAUAGACACAUUACAGACAGACACCGUGUGGUGUAGUGUUAUACUGGGUUUCAGGUCUCUGGUUCAUGUUAGGAGGGUAUUAUAGACACAUUACAGACAGACACCGUGUGGUGUAGUGUUAUACUGGGUUUCAGGUCUCUGGUUCAUGUUAGGAGGGUAUUAUAGACACAUUACAGACAGACACCGUGUGGUGUAGUGUUAUACUGGGUUUCAGGUCUCUGGUUCAUGUUAGGAGGGUAUUAUAGACACAUUACAGACAGACACCGUGUGGUGUAGUGUUAUACUGGGUUUCAGGUCUCUGGUUCAUGUCAGGAGGGUAUUAUAGACUCAUUACAGACAGACACCGUGUGGUGUAGUGUUAUACUGGGUUUCAGGUCUCUGGUUCUUGUCAGGAGGGUAUUAUAGACACAUUACAGACAGACACCGUGUGGUGUAGUGUUAUACUGGGUUUCAGGUCUCUGGUUCAUGUUAG